GCCCUUGGUGGGAGGAUGACAGAGCUGCAGUCGGCACUGCUACUGUGAAGACAGCUGGCAGAACUCAGCAAAAAUCCAGUGGAAGGCUUUUCUGCAGAUUUAAUAGAUGACAAUGAUCUCUACCGAUGGGAAGUCCCUUAUUGGCCCUUCAGAUACACUUUAUGAAGGUGGUGUUUUUAAGGCUCAUCUCACUUUCCCAAAAGAUUAUCCCCUCCGGCCUCCUAAAAUGAAAUUCAUUACAGAAAUCUGGCAUCCAAAUGUUGCUAAAAAUGGUGAUGUGUGCAUUUCUAUUCUUCAUGAGCCUGGGGAAGAUAAGCAUGGUUAUGAAAAGCCAGAAGAACGCUGGCUCCCUAUCCACACUGUGGAAACCAUCACGAUUAGUGUCAUUUCUAUGCUGGCAGACCCUAAUGGAGACUCACCUGCUAAUGUUGAUGCUGCGAGAGAAUGGAGGGAAGAUAGAAAUGGAGAAUUUAAAAGAAAAACUGUCCUCUGUGUCAGAAAAAGCCAAGAGACUGCUUUUGAGUGACAUUUAUUUAGCAGCUAGUAACUUCACUUAUUUCAGGGUCUCCAACUGAGAAACAUGGCACUGUUUUUCCUGCACUCCGCCCACCUAUUGCUGGACUUCUGUUGUACAAGUUGGCAAACACUGGCUGGAGCUGGGCUGCAAUAAAACAUGCCAGUUACCAGUGCUGACAAGAGCUGAACAAGUGCCAACUCAGAUGAUUACGCAUUUUGAAUUCUAAUGAACUGUUUUAACCUUCAGGAAGAAUUGUAAAGACCUGUACAUAGCACAACAUGAUCCGGAUAAUAUAUACACUGUUCAUGCACAUCCAUAGAUACACCUUGUACCAAAUAAUGCUUUCUUGUAGUAGAGUAAGAAUCGUGUACAUUCUACAAGAUUUUAGCAGGUUUUCUUUCCUAUUCAUUGUUUCUUAUCAGUUUAAAAGGACUCCUUUAAGCAUGCCGGAUGAAAAGCAAUUAGGAUUAAAAGUUUCCAUUUAAUUUCCCUUAAACCAUUGAGGCUUCAUUAAACUCUCUUCAAUUACUAAA